UUUUACUGCGCUCACUCUUUCUCUUCUGAUGAAAUCCGACGCCGACAUCUCCUCCAAUCUAUGAAAUCCGACGCCGAUUGAGAAGGAUUCAUGGAGCAUCUCCGGUGGAAGAGAUCUCUGGCGAAAGAUUCGUGGAGCAGCCUGACCACUGUCUACAUUUGUGUUCCAUACAUUCUGCAUAUAAAAAUGGCUUCAAACUCUUGGAGCUUGAAUGCAACAUCUUAAUAGUUCUUGAAUGAGUUUGGCUUGAUUUGUUGUUUAUCUGUCUGAUAACUCGCUGCACUAACAAUAAGACGAAGCUAGAUGAAGAACUAACAAGAGCAUCCUGCAGAAUCCGUGUUAGCUUUGAAUCACGAUAAUGUUUUCAACUGUCUACUGUCAAAGUCAGAUUAGUAGCAUUCAAGAUUACGAAGCCAAGUGUUAACAGAGCUAAGUUCUCACUCGGGGAGUAGUAGGAGCUGAAGAAUCGAAGUUAAGUGCUGAGUAACACAUCUUUGAAUACGAGAUGAAUUGCGCCAAGAAUUGUGGCGUGAAAUGCAUCAAAAACUACACGAGCAAAAAAGGGAGAUGGAAGAAAUGAUGAAGUAGUUUAUGACGUCCAAGCAACCCCAACAAUCAAGUCACACUCGUAUUUAUGAUGAUGAGUUGAUAUAUCUCAUGAACUCACUUGGAAACUCAUACACUUCAUGUUUAUUUUACUUAGAAUGUUGGUUGUAUUUUGACUAAUAAUUUUGAGGCUUAUCAAUGAUGAUUUUCAUUUUGUUGGUCA